rnacentral:rRNA from 1 species
AUACGGAAGGUCCGGGCGUUAUCCGGAUUUAUUGGGUUUAAAGGGAGCGCAGGCGGAGAUGCAAGCGUGACGUCAAAUUUCGGGGCUCAACCCCGUCUCGCGUCGCGAACUGCGUCCCUUGGUUGCGGGAAGGGGAGGCGGAACUCGUGGUGUAGCGGUGAAAUGCAUAGAUAUCACGAAGAACUCCGAUCGCGAAGGCAGCCUUCCGGCCCGUCAACGACGCUCAUGCUCGAAGGUGCGGGUAUCAAACAGGAUUAGAUACCCUGGUAGUCCGCACAGUAAACGAUGGACACCCGCGGUUUGGCCUAUAUGGCUGAGCCGCCAAGCGAAAGCGUUAAGUGGCCCACCUGGGGAGUACGCCGGCAACGGUGAAACUCAAAGGAAUUGACGGGG